rnacentral:lncRNA from 1 species
AAUUUACAGAUAAAAUCUGAUAUAAAAUAAAAAAUUACAUCGAUCACAUCGAUGUCCUGAAUCUGAUCUAACCUUUAGAUCACAUCAGUUGAGUUUAGAACUCAUCACCUUUUUAUGGAUUGAUGAUCUUCACUGUUGAUAGAUAUGGUACGAAGCUCUCAUUGAUGUCGAGUAGCUGCACAGGUCGUCUGGCCUCUAUAGAUCAUCCACUCGAAGCC